AAAUAGAUAAAUUUUUUAUAUUUUUUAUAAUUUAUUAUAAAUUUAUUUUACAUGUAAAUUUUAGUAUUAAAUUUUAAUUAUUUUAAUAAUAAUUAAUUAAAUUUUACAGUAAUUAAAAUUAAAAAUUUAAGAAAUUAAGAUUUAGUAAUAUUUAAAUUAAUAACUAAUUUUGUGCCAGCAGUUGCGGUUAAACAAAAAUUAAAUUAAAUUAUUUCAGUAUAUAAUAAAUAAUUAUAAUUAAAUUAAAUAUUAAAUUAUUAAGUGAAAUUUUAAUUUAAUUAAAAAUUAUAAUAAAAUUAUGAUUUAAUAAAUUUUAUUAUAAACUAGGAUUAGAUACCCUAUUAUUAAAAAUUUAAUUAAAAAUACUAAAAUAGUAAAUAAUAUAUUAUUGAAACUUAAAUAAUAUGGCGGUAUUUUAGUUCAUUUAGAGGAAUCUGUCUAAUAAUUGAUAAUCCACGAAUAAAUUUACUUAAUUUAUAAUUUUGUAUAUCAUUGUUAAAAAAAUAUUUUUAAAUAAAAAUAAUAUUUUAAAAUUUAAAAUAAAAUUUAAUUCAGAUCAAGAUGCAGUUUAUAAUUAAGUUUAAGAUGGAUUACAAUAAAUUUAUUUAAACGAAAAGAAUUUUGUAAAAUUUAAUUGAAGGUGGAUUUAAAUGUAAUUUUAAUUAAUUUAUUAAAAUGAUUAAAAAUUGAAAUAUGUACAUAUUGCCCGUCACUUUCAUUUAAAAAUUGAAAUAAGUCGUAACAAAGUAGAGGUACUGGAAAGUGUUUCUAGAAUGAA
rnacentral:ncRNA from 1 species